rnacentral:rRNA from 1 species
UACGGAGGGUGCAAGCGUUAAUCGGAAUUACUGGGCGUAAAGCGCACGUAGGCGGUAAGUUAAGUCAGCUGUGAAAUCCCCGGGCUCAACCUGGGAAUUGCAGUUGAAACUGGCUUGCUAGAGUAUGGUAGAGGGGUGUGGAAUUUCAGGUGUAGCGGUGAAAUGCGUAGAUAUCUGAAGGAACAUCAGUGGCGAAGGCGACACCCUGGACCAAUACUGACGCUGAGGUGCGAAAGCGUGGGGAGCAAACAGG